rnacentral:rRNA from 1 species
UAAAAAUGUAAGUAAAUUUAUAGAUUAGUAUUAGUUAUGUUCUUGAAAAUUAAAAAAUUUGGCGGUUUUUUAGUCUAUUCAGAGGAACCUGUCCUGUAAUUGAUAAUCCACGAUUAAAAUUACUUAUUUUAUUUAGUUUGUAUAUCGUCGUAUGUUGAAUAUUUUUUAAAAAUUAAAUAUUCGAGAAGUUUAAUUAAAAAAAAAAUCAGAUCAAGGUGCAAUUUAUAGAUAAGUAGAGAUGGGUUACAAUAAAUUUAUUUAUGAAUAGUAAAUUGUAAAUUUUAUUGAAAUUGGAUUUGAAAGUAAAUUUGAUUAUUUAAUUAAAUUGAUUUAGCUCUAAAAUAUGU